rnacentral:SRP_RNA from 1 species
GUCGGGCCUUGUAGCGAGGGCUUGUAACUUGAGUGGGGGCAAUAAUGUGGUGGAGUGUUGGGUUAUUCCUGAUGGUUGGGCUUUGGGUGGCUAAUGUCUGGUCUGCCCUAUCCAAGCACGGAGUUGAGCCAUGUGGUUCAAACGAAAGUUUGGGCUAUUUGGCUCUUAGAGUGGGGUGGAAUGCGUGAGGCUAGUUUCACAGAGCAACUGUAACGACCUGUUUAGUCGUUUUGAGCAGCAGAUUUUAUUUCUGGAAAAACAGGCUGAGACGACGGAACCCACGACGGAACGUCAUGGGCACGACGGACCGUCG